AACGAACGCUGGCGGCAUGCCUAACACAUGCAAGUCGAACGAGACCUUCGGGUCUAGUGGCGCACGGGUGCGUAACGCGUGGGAACCUGCCCUUAGGUUCGGAAUACCUCCCCGAAAGGGGUGCUAAUACCGGAUAAUGUCUUCGGACCAAAGAUUUAUCGCCUUUGGAUGGGCCCGCGUUGGAUUGGCUAGUUGGUAGGGUAAAAGCCUACCAAGGCGACGAUCCAUAGCUGGUCUGAUAGGAUGAUCAGUCACACUGGGACUGAGACACGGACCAGACUCCUACGGGAGGCAGCAGUGGGGAAUAUUGGACAAGGGGCGAAAGUCUGAUACAGCAAUGCCGCGUGAGUGAUGAAGGCCGUAGGGUUGUAAAGCUCUUUUACCCGGGAUGAUAAUGACAGUACCGGGAGAAUAAGCACCGGCUAACUCCGUG
rnacentral:rRNA from 1 species